CACAUGCUAUAGGUCCACCUUUGGGAUAUAUCUGUUGUGCCUUGCUAAUAAAUCUCUGGUGGUCUUCAGAGACCGGCAGGUUACAUUCACCAACUUUAGUUGUUGUAUUGUCGAGUGCUUGAUCAUUGGUAUGUAAUAUAACUGCAUGGUAGUCUCUUUGAUGUGAAUGAUCUGUUGCUUCAGACUGUUUUCUGCUAUCAGGACUUUGUUGCUGCGUGGACAUG